UCGCUCAUCGGUCAUCCUUGAUCAGAAUCUCUCUACCAUUAACUUGGACGGGGAGACGAUGGUCAUCAUUUACUUUGAGAAAAUUAGAGUGUUUAGGGCAGACAUUUGUCGUGAAUACAUUAGCAUGGAAUAAUAAGAUAGGACUUCGGCACUGCCGCUGUUGCUUUCGGGCGACUGGCGUUCUAUUUUGUUGGUUUCUAGAGCUGAAGUAAUGAUUGAUAGGGAUAGUUGGGGGCGCUCGUAUUGCUUGGCCAGAGGUGAAAUUCUCGGAUUCAAGUAAGACGAACUAAUGCGAAAGCAUCCGUCAAGGAUAUCCUCUUUAAUCAAGAACGAAAGUUGGGGGAUCGAAGACGAUCAGAUACCGUCGUAGUCUCAACCAUAAACGAUGCCGACUAGGGAUUGGACGAUGUCGCAUUUAAAGACUCGUUCAGCACCUUAUUCGAGAAAUCAUAAGUCUUCGGGUUCUGGGGGGAGUACGGUCGCAAGGCUGAAACUUAAAGGAAUUGACGGAAGGGCACCACCAGGCGUGGAGCCUGCGGCUUAAUUU
rnacentral:rRNA from 1 species